rnacentral:rRNA from 1 species
UACGUAGGGCGCAAGCGUUGUCCGGAAUUAUUGGGCGUAAAGAGCUCGUAGGCGGUUUGUCGCGUCUGCUGUGAAAACCUCAGGCUCAACCUGGGGCUUGCAGUGGGUACGGGCAGACUAGAGUGCGGUAGGGGGUGACUGGAAUUCCUGGUGUAGCGGUGGAAUGCGCAGAUAUCAGGGGGAACACCGAUGGCGAAGGCAGGUCACUGGGCCGCAACUGACGCUGAGGAGCGAAAGCAUGGGGAGCCGAACAGGG